CCCUUCCCUGAGGUUUGGCUGAGCCCAAAUCGCCCCGGCCGCACCAAUAGCAUUGCUCAGCUGCCGGGCCGCGCGCGUUCGGGAGCUGCCAAGCCUCGCGAGACCGGGGCUCGCUAGGGUCGCCGGUAGUUACGGGGUCGCAGCCGUGCGUCAUCGUGGGUGCUGCUCUGUGGGCCCGAGUGUCUGGUCUGGUUGCUUCUGUCGCACUGAGAGCGAAGGCUGGGUCAGUGUCUGGCAAGCGGAGUGGUGAGAAUGAGAACCAACCGAAGGUUAAACGGCCUUGCCAUUGGCCCCCUGGCUCUAAAAGCAGGCUGUGGUGGAGGCUUAGGCCGACAGGGCGGAGCGGAGGCCGUGAACAUCCUGCUCCCCGGCCAGACACAUAUUAAGAGGAGGCGAAGGGUCAGGCCUCGGGAAGAUGAAAAUUCUCGAGAAGCUGGAAGAAGGCGUGAGUAACACCGACGUGGGGCCGUGCACACCCUUAGGCAAAACGAGAAGGCCGUCGGGGCAGCAUGGAGAGUUUUUCGCGCGUCUGCUCCUAGGUGCUGUGCAUUCCCAAGGAUGUAAACGUCGAGAAAAUGGAAACUUCAGUUAAUCUUUUGGGUCAAGGAUUGGGGGCAAGAAGGGGGGCGGCGAUCGCGGAAGGCUGUCUGCAGCCAGGCCAAAAAGGUUUACAUGCAACUGGUGGAAACCACUGGCAAGGACAACCCAGACGAGUUUUCAUGCGAGCAAGGGAUGGUUUGAGUUUAAAAAUUACUAUAGACUGCGAAAUUCGAGUUUGAUGGAAGAUCCGUUAAAUACCCAGUCACCACCCACGUAUUCCAAGCAACUCUAGAAACUGAUCAGAGCUAGAGGCUUUAACCUCAAUAGGUCUUCACCAUCAAGGAAAUGAACCUGCUUUGGAAGUGCUUGCCUUUGUGUACUUUUGGGGGAAAAGACAGAAAUCCGGGAAACUUAGGGGACGCUAAGGACAGGAUUUCCCUUACAUUUCGUGCCAGUGCCGCAGGUGACAAAAUGAUAAACCCGUUGCUGCUUUAUGAAGACCCCAAAUUCCGCUUGUUUUAUGAAAAAAGAUAUGCUUUCUUGUUUUUCUGGCGAUCACUAAUCUUAUCGUUAACAGCUACCCUCAUUUUGGAUUGGCUCCAUAAUUGUUUUAUUCUUUGAGCCUGGAAUUAUUUAACUCCCCCAAAUCUUGCCUUCAGAGUAUCGCUAAUAGUGUUCCCAAUCACCCAGACUCAUUUUUCCUUGCUCAUCGGUACGUUGUUACUAUGUUUCUUUGUCUGGAAGGCACUAGCUAUCUUUAGCCUUUGGAUCAGAGUGUAAUUGAAGCAUUCAUGGGGUAUUACACCAAGCAUAUGUUUGACCACUUUGCCCAUGGCAUUGGGGAAAAAAAAAAAAAAUCCUUUGCUCACUUUAAAAGAAACAUGGUAAUAAUAAAAGAGGUGACGGAUGAUAAGAAAAACCAGAUGCUCUUGAUAAAGCUUGCUGGAAGCUUUGCUCUGAUGUUAUGAAUGAUUAUGAAUGUUCCCUGGAGCUAAAGAAGAAGCUGAAAAAGAAAUCAUAGUCUGCAAAUUGGAUGGGCUUUAAAUUCAUCAAUAUGAAACUUUAAGUUUCAGGCUUUGGCAGUAACAGAGAGUCUGUGUCAUCUUGAGAUGAUAGAUACAUGUCUGUACCUUGAGAGGAAGAAGGCAAAUCUUUGGAACCAGAGAUAAAGAUGAACCUAAGGAAACAAUGCUGUCCUACACCAGGUGUUAGACCUCAUCCAUGCUGCGACUGAUAUGGAUUCUUUCCUGGAUCGAGGUUUGGCCCUUAAAAAAGAGACUUCAAUAAAUUGUAUACCUAUAGAAGAGGUGCGGAACAACUUUCAAAAUAAAGUAGAGGAGCUGAAGAAAGAGGAGGAAGAUACAGUAUUGUGGAUGAAAGAGAUGGGUACAGAGUCUGACUCUGAAGAGUCUGAGUUCACCUCUGAAUCCAGUAAGGAGGAGGAAAGAAAGAGAGAAGGCAAGAUGCCUCCAGAAGAGCCUGUGAUAUCAGGCAGGGGCACUGAGGCUCUUACUAGAUCUGAAGGAUCUGCCAAGGCCAUAAAUGCAGAAUUGGAGAUUUGGAAUCGGACCUUGGAAUUGACUCUGAAGAGAGUAGAGGUGCCUGAGUUGAAGGAAAAGAUAAUCCAGAGGUGGUUUCUUCCAGAUAGCAGUUCAUCCCUUGCCAUCCUUUGCCCCAACAUCACCUUCAUCUUGACCAUCCUUGUCAGCACCAGUCACACACCUGUAUCAUUUAGUCGUUGAACAAAUAUUUAUUGAACAUAAUCUGUGCAGGAACCUGUGCUAAAUUCUGGGACAUCAUCUCAGGAUCUAAGAUCCUGACAGCCUCGCUCCUGACAUACCCUGUGCUCAGGACCCUCAGCCUGCAGCUCCUUUCCGUUGUCACUGGCAGCUAUGUGUCCGGCACGUACUCCAUUGUUUUUGUCAACUGCCCCAACGAGCAGAUUGCCAGAGAUAUCGCCAGGGCUAUCCUGGAUAAGAAGCUGGCUGCCUCUGUGAACAUCCUGCCUAAGGCCUCCUCGCUAUACUAUUGGAAUGGAGAAAUAGAAGAAGCAACUGAGGUCCUGUUGUUAAUAAAGACAAAGACUUCCAAGAUCCAUAUGCUCUCCAGCUACAUCAGUGUUCAUGGGGUCGCAAAGAGUUGGACAGGACUGAGCGACUGGACUGGACACUGCACAGUGUCAUGCCAUGUGUGGUCUCUGCUGUGCAGCAGAGUGGCUCAGCUAUACACGUGUAUCUUCUUUUCCGUGUUCUUUCCCAUCAUGGUUUAUCACCAGAUACUGGAUAGAGCUCCCUGCACCGCACAGCAGGGCCUUGCGGUUUGCCCAUCCUGUGGAAAUAGUUUACAUCUGCUAAUCCCAGACUCCCAACGCUUCCCUCCCCUGCCCCCAAAACACGAAUUUUUUUAAAUGAAUUCUUUGAUUGGCAAUAAACGAUGUAAAUUGUCUUCAUUUGAGUGAUGGGCCAAAUGUUUGUUCAUAUUUGAGAAAAUGUGUACCUAAUACUCAAUCCUGAGUCACCUUAAUUUGUGAAAUU